UACAGAGGGGGCAAGCGUUGUUCGGAAUUACUGGGCGUAAAGGGCGCGUAGGCGGCCUGCUAAGUCGAACGUGAAAUCCCCAGGCUUAACCUGGGAACUGCGUCCGAUACUGACAGGCUUGAAUCCGGGAGAGGGAUGUGGAAUUCCAGGUGUAGCGGUGAAAUGCGUAGAUAUCUGGAGGAACACCGGUGGCGAAGGCGGCAUCCUGGACCGGUAUUGACGCUGAGGCGCGAAAGCUAGGGUAGCAAACGGG
rnacentral:rRNA from 1 species